UACGUAGGGUGCAAGCGUUGUCCGGAAUUAUUGGGCGUAAAGAGCUCGUAGGCGGUCAGUCGCGUCUGACUGUGAAAACUCGGGGCUUAACCCCGGGCCUGCAGUGGGUACGGGCUGACUAGAGUGCGGUAGGGGAGACUGGAAUUCCUGGUGUAGCGGUGAAAUGCGCAGAUAUCAGGAGGAACACCGGUGGCGAAGGCGGGUCUCUGGGCCGUAACUGACGCUGAGGGGCGAAAGCGUGGGGAGCGAACAGGA
rnacentral:rRNA from 1 species